AAUUUUCGCUAUGUUAAACAGUAUUGACUUCUGCUAAAACGAAAGUUCAACGUGAAUUGUAGACUAAGAAGAAAGGCAAAGUGCUUGGAAAAAUAAUCGCUGCCUAAAGGAAAAACCCACUGUGUAGGGAAAGAUAAUCUGUUUUGGAUACCUCGGAGAGAGUACCGAAGAAAAAAAAGAAGUGUGCUGUCUUCGGAUGAUGAGGAUUCAGAAUGCACAGAUGAAGGUGGAGUGGUCCCUUAGCAAAUUUACGAUAAAUUGCUCCAAGGGUACCGUCAAUUAAAGAAAGAAAAAAACGGCAACUGUCAGUGGAUCUCAGAGAUCUCCA